rnacentral:tRNA from 2 species
GGACUUGUAGCUCAAGUGGUUAGAGCAGUCAACAGUUUUGUCGUAAAUUGUUGUACAUCUUGUGGGUUCAAAUCCCACCAAGUCCU